rnacentral:tRNA from 1 species
GUUAAGGUGGCAGAGCCCGGCUACUGCAGCAGACCUAAGCUCUGCUCACAGGGGUUCAAAUCCCCUCCCUAACU